GAUCCAGUGGCCCUGAGGGACCAACACAAUGUAAGGAGCUGGACCUUGUGCACUCUUGCUCCUCUCUUGCUGCCUCCUUAUCUAACUUCUGCUCAGUCACCUCUGCAUUCUACCUGUAGAAAAGUGACUCAACAUCAUUCCAGAAGUCCGGAAUUCUACAAGAAUCAUCUGAUGUCAAAAAUAACUGAGAACAAUCUGAACAGGAGAGGAAGAUAGAAGUAACUAUGAAAGAUUACAGAGAUUAGAAAGAGCCACUGUACUUGAAAGAAAGCAAUCAUCUCUGAGAGCUCUUCAAUUACAACGAAAUUGUCAGCUAGAUAGAAGGAAUUAAUACUAGUGUUUGAUACCACCUUACGAUGACUAUAGCUUUUCUCGGAGUUGAAAGUGAUAACACACCACCACAUGGUCAAGUGAAUCAUAACCUGCUGGGGCUUGAGGUAUGGAAGACGAACAGUGGAGGAAAAGGUAUCUUCCAGCCUGGUGAAAUGCCGUGGAAAUGUGAGGCCAUUUAUUUUUUCUAAAUGCCCCAGCAACAGCUCUCAUUCACUUGCAGAAGCAAGAGCUGUUCUGACUACUCACAGUAUAUGGUGAGAUCUUUAUUUCUUUGCCUUUUUUUUUACUGUGAGUUUCCUUUUUUGUCAUCAUUGACCUUAUAAUGAAUCACUGCACUGUCUGAGUAAUGAGGCUGCAGUAGAUAAGGUCUCCUGAGAAUAUGAAGGAAGAAGUAUGUUCAGCAACUGAUUACUGACUUAUCCACCUGAUUAUAGUGACCAAUCUACUCAUAUAUCUGAUUUCAA
rnacentral:lncRNA from 1 species